AUCACGAAUUUCUGCUGCUGCUCAUCUCCUUGACCCACCAACACCGUAACGCAUCCUCUCGGUACUGUAUCCCUCAAUUCCUCCUUCGUAUGAUGAUGAAGAUGAAAUGGAAAAUGAAAUUGAACAUGGAAAUUCAGAUGAUGAUUAUGAUUGUGUUGGUGAAGAU